GCCUGAGUGGCUCAGUCGGUUGAGCAUCUGACUUAGGCUCAGGUCACGAUCUCGCAGUUCGUGAGUUCAAGCCCCGUGUCGAGCU
rnacentral:tRNA from 1 species